AUCAUCAAAGAGGCACAAUGAAGUUGUAUGACCAGCUCAUUUAUGCUUCUUAAGCAUCAUUUUACCCCAGCACAGAGGGACAAGCCCAAAUCAGCUCAAAACGACAAAAUACUAACAGGGAGCGGCGGUAGGGAUCCAACUUGAAAGAAGAUGGGACCGAGGCAGAGGGAGCACUGAUGCGCCAUGGAGAGACGAGGAAGGCCAUGCUAAGAAAUGGAACCGGCUGAAUUGAAGAACCAGUCAAAACGAGCUUUUUUGGUUCUUCCUCUCUGGAAGGAUGUCGGCUCAGUGUGCGCGGCCAUCCCUGAGGACGCUUGAUGUCAUCUUGUCUACCUGAUCAUUACACUACCUGCUCUCCUCCACAAUGCUGCCCUCUCACUGCUCCGCCACUUGAAAUGCUUGGCUGGCCUCUUCUCUGAAACCAUCAUGAAAUUGUGAGCUAAAACGUCGCAGACUGUUCCUCUCCUCUCUCCUCCCUCCAGCCAUGUGUGCAGGAGCCAGGAAAAAAGAUUCCUGCGUUCGGACGACUGCUUCUCAGUCAAAGGGAAAACACACAAAACAGCCUUCAGCCACCUGUCUGUGUUCACCUCUCAAGUGUGUGAGAUUUUAUACAGUAUGGCUAUAUCCAGGUACACCAAAUGGACUCAUUCUUCGUUGUUUGAAAGGCCGAGACUUACAACAAAAAAGGUUCAGUUACUUUGUUUGCCACUAGAUUUGAGAGAGAUGAUUUUCUGUGCUCUUAUAUCCUUGACACUUUAUAAUAAACUUUACAGAACAAACAAUAAUGUAAUGUUUUCAUACAUUUUUAGAAUAUGAUAGUAUGGAGGAUUAUAACCUUGUGCUUGUGUGUUAUGUUCCAUUAUACAGUUUAAAUAGUGAAAAGAACUAUAUCUUAUACUUCACAAUUUGUAGCUGUUCAGUACUCAGGUGAAAUCAUUGUAUCAGAAAGUGAUUUUUGCUUGUUGCUUUUAAAAGGGGGAGUAGAUUGUUUUACACACAUGUAGCACCAGUAAAGCACAUGAGGUGAGGUUUCUAAAAUGAACAAGGACUGGAUUUCAUUGGACUGCUGUCGUUUCCAAGGUCCAGGUUCUGAGCACGCUGUCUCAUUAUCGCACUGUCAUGACUAUUUUCAAUCUAGUUAUUAACUCCAUGUGCUCUUCCUUUUAAUGUCUGAAGGGAAAUGUAUACGGUCAAUUUGUAGUGUGGAGUUCAAUGUGGGAACUGAGACGUAAGGAUAAUCCAAGGGCACUGAUAGUGCAACUUGUUGACUGACUGUCUUUCCUGGCAAAACAGAAAUAUUUUAUUUUUGAUCAUUUAUGAAAAUACUGAUGGACACUUUCCAGAACUAAACUGUGAGCGACUGUGUCAUCUCAUCUACUCUCUCACACUUGCAGUUACUUAAGUAUGUGUAACCUAAAAUCAUCUGGAUUAUUAUCAAUAUUCUUAUUUUCACGUUUUGAUUGCACAUAAAAAAUGUUUGAAUAUGUACUCUGCAUCUUCUCUGUUCAUGGAAAGCUUCACAGGUUAAGAGUCAGAAAUAAUAACCACUAGCCUGUGACCGAGGUCUCAU